rnacentral:lncRNA from 1 species
GGCUCACUGUCUAGCUUAGAGGAACUAUACCUUGAUUACAACAACCUUGAAGGCACAAUUCCUGCGAGUUUCAAUGGCUUGUCAAGCUUGAAACGCCUCGAAAUUCAAUCAAACAAGCUCACUGGUGAGUUUCCCGAGCUGGGUUCCCUGAAAAACCUCUACUUUUUAGAUGCUAGCGACAAUGCAAUAUCACGACAAUUACCAGCAAUACUACCAACAUCACUCGUUCAAAUCUCCAUGAGAAACAACAACUUACAGGGCACAGUACCUGAAAGUUUAAAGCUUUUGAGUUAUUUACAAGUAGUGGAUCUAAGUCACAACAAACUCAGUGGCUCAGUCCCUUCAUUUGUCUUUAGCCAUCCCUCUCUUCAACAGCUCACUCUCUCAUUCAACCAGUUUACUUCCAUACAACAGCCC